CGCUGGUGCCUCCGCGACGUUAGACCGAAAACUCCGCCAGGGCCGGAAGGCAGCAACGGUAUCGGUGGACGCGUGCGCCGGAGAUGCGCUGGCGGGG
rnacentral:SRP_RNA from 1 species